AACGCGAAGAACCUUACCUGGGCUCGAAAUGCAGAGGGAGAUGCCAGAAAUGGCUUCGUCCGCAAGGACUUCUGUAUAGGUGCUGCAUGGCUGUCGUCAGCUCGUGCCGUGAGGUGUUUGGUUAAGUCCAGCAACGAGCGCAACCCUUAUCAUUAGUUGCCAACACGUAAGGUGGGGACUCUAAUGAGACUGCCUAGGUUAACUAGGAGGAAGGCGAGGAUGACGUCAAGUCCGCAUGGCCUUUAUGUCCAGGGCUACACACGUGCUACAAUGGUCGGUACAGAGGGCUGCAAGACCGCAAGGUGGAGCAAAUCCCAGAAAGCCGAUCUCAGUUCAGAUUGUGGACUGCAACUCGUCCACAUGAAGUCGGAAUUGCUAGUAAUGGCGUGUCAGCAAUAACGCCGUGAAUACGUUCCCGGGCCUUGUA
rnacentral:rRNA from 1 species